AUUGAACGCUGGCGGCAUGCCUUACACAUGCAAGUCGAACGGCAGCACGGGAGCAAUCCUGGUGGCGAGUGGCGAACGGGUGAGUAAUAUAUCGGAACGUGCCCGGUCGUGGGGGAUAACGUAGCGAAAGCUACGCUAAUACCGCAUACGAUCUACGGAUGAAAGCGGGGGAUCGCAAGACCUCGCGCGAUUGGAGCGGCCGAUAUCAGAUUAGGUAGUUGGUGAGGUAAAGGCUCACCAAGCCGACGAUCUGUAGCUGGUCUGAGAGGACGACCAGCCACACUGGGACUGAGACACGGCCCAGACUCCUACGGGAGGCAGCAGUGGGGAAUUUGGACAAUGGGCGCAAGCCUGAUCCAGCAAUGCCGCGUGCAGGAUGAAGGCCUUCGGGUUGUAAGCUGCUUUGUACGGAACGAAACGGUGAGCUCUAAUACAGUUUGCUAAUGACGGUACCGUAAGAAUAAGCACCGGCUAACUACGUG
rnacentral:rRNA from 1 species